rnacentral:lncRNA from 1 species
UUUCAUUUCUCCUUAACAGAGAAAGAUUAGAAGUUCCUCUUUGUUUUAUUUUGGUCUCACUGACUACAAGGUUCAGUUGAUUUGGCUGCAGAAUCUACAAGGAUAAAUGGAACAAGAGAGAGCUUGAACCAUUCAAGCUUUUAUGAUUGAAAAUGCACAUUUCUCAUGGGCACUCACAGAACUGAAACAGCAUGAUUUGCAAGCUUGCUAAAUGGAUUUCUUCCAAGCAAGUCAUUGGGAAUAUCAGAGCCUUGAACUUCAUUCCAAGAACUUGAGGAAAUCUCAUGUCUCCCUGCCAUUUUCCAGCCUCUCAUCUGAAGGAACAAACCCUAUCUCUCCCUGCCUGAUGCCGUCUGAAUUUCCUCCGGGAUUAUCUAAACAGUGCCACGUGACCCAUUUCUCUCAASCACUCUACAAAUGGGAAAGCAUAAAUCAUGUCUCCCUACAAAUAAGCACAACUGGCAAGAUGUUAUUUUUCYCUGUCUGAAGUCACACCAGUUCUUUAAUCUGCCGCCUCCUGGAAGCAUGUCUGUUCAGAGAAAAUACAACCAUUAUAAUGUAUACACAAUGUUCUUCUGCCACUUUUUGAUGCAAACUAUAACGGGAACUGCAUGCCAGAAACAUUUAAAAUAAUGCAAGCAAGUGAAUACCUCUUACUGUUUUCACUUCUCUUCAACUUGGCUUUGAAACCAGAAAGCAUUCCUGCUUGUAAGGAAAUGAAUAGCCAGCUAAAAAAGGGAAAAUCCUGAAUGUGAAAUCCCAGCGGAGCUUCAUUCUCAAACUUGUGACUUUCAAGCGUCAUGUUAUUGUUGGGGGGGGAUUGGGACAUCACCCACAUUUAGUUUUGAAAAUAUUCUUUGUAAACUGCAGAAAAGGUAAGUUCUUGCCUUAAAAAAAAAACAACUCCGAGCUGAACACUUUAAAAUACUUCAAAAACUGGAGAUGUUUUUACAGCUAAACCUUGUCUGGAGUUCAUUUAAAAUAAUUGUGUUUAUAUGGAGGUGAGUUAGUGCACAGAGCUCUGCCAAUGCCUCAACUGUAGUUAAAAGUACACAGCGAAGAAUUAUAAACCUGGUAAUUARGUUUGUGAAUGUAACACGGAGCAUGUGCAAGAAUCCAGUGGUAGAAAGUCAGUUUUGGAGGAGGAAAAAAGCCAAACCAAUCUUUAAUGGGUGCUGAACCUUGGAGGAAUAUUCUGGGGGAAAUGAAUGAUGGGACCAUGCCUUUCAUUACAAAACAACUGUGUGUAUGUGAAAGAAAGCCUACACGGUGGUCCUGUUGCUGUGUCUUCACUGAGGGUGGGAUUCAGUUUGCCCAGCUGUAAAGAUGUUCACAUUUCUGCUAGGUCUCAGGACAUCCGUAUAGUCUGUGGAAUAGGUCCUCUAGGAUGUGAACCAUCACACCUCUUGGAGACAUCUCCUUUAGGGUAAGGGGGCUCUUUCCCUUCACCAGCCAGAAGGGAGACUAGAUUUCAGGGAUCAGGAGGCAGUAGAGAUGAACCUGUAUCAAGUGUCAUUUUCCGAUAGCACCGUUGGCAUGAGUGCCUCCAAGUGAAGAGCCCUUGUCUUCCAACUUUUGUUUUUGAGGGCUUUGAGGAGAGUUGACUGCUAAAAUAAAUAUUUGGAGUUAGCAGUGACCUGAAUGGGU